UACGAAGGGGGCUAGCGUUGCUCGGAAUUACUGGGCGUAAUGGGCGCGUAGGCGGGUCGUUUAGUUAGAGGUGAAAGCCCAGGGCUCAACCCUGGAAUUGCCUUUAAUACUGGCGGCCUUGAGUAUGGCAGAGGUGUGUGGAACUCCGAGUGUAGAGGUGAAAUGCGUAGAGAUCGGGAGGAACAUCAGUGGCGAAGGCGGCCAUCUGGGACAACACUGACGCUGAAGCACGAGAGCGUGGGGAGCAAACAGG
rnacentral:rRNA from 1 species